ensembl:misc_RNA Metazoa_SRP Metazoan signal recognition particle RNA
GCCGGGCGUGGUGGUGGACGCCUGUAGUCCCAGCUACUUGGGAGGCUGAGGCAGGAGAAUUGCUUGAACCUGGGAGGCGGAGGUUGCAGUGAGCCGAGAUUGGGCCACUGCACUCCAGCCUGGGAGACACAGCAAGACUCUGUCUCAA